rnacentral:rRNA from 1 species
CCUUGUACACACCGCCCGUCACGCCAUGGAAGUGGGUUGUACCAGAAGUCGGUGGCUUAACCGCAAGGGGGGCGCUGACCACGGUAUGGUCCAUGACUGGGGCG